UACGUAGGGGGCAAGCGUUGUCCGGAAUCAUUGGGCGUAAAGAGCGUGUAGGCGGCCUGAUAAGUCGGUUGUGAAAGUCAGGGGCUCAACCCUUGAAUGCCGGCCGAUACUGUCAGGCUAGAGUCCGGAAGAGGCGAGUGGAAUUCCUGGUGUAGCGGUGAAAUGCGCAGAUAUCAGGAGGAACACCGGUGGCGAAGGCGGGUCUCUGGGCCGAUACUGACGCUGAGGAGCGAAAGCGUGGGGAGCGAACAGG
rnacentral:rRNA from 1 species